UCAGAGCCCGUUAAUGGGUGAUGGCGUGCCUUUUGUAGAAUGAACCGGCGAGUUACGAUUUGAUGCAAGGUUAAGCAGUAAAUGUGGAGCCGUAGCGAAAGCGAGUCUGAAUAGGGCGUUUAGUAUUUGGUCGUAGACCCGAAACCAGGUGAUCUACCCUUGGUCAGGUUGAAGUUCAGGUAACACUGAAUGGAGGACCGAACCGACUUACGUUGAAAAGUGAGCGGAUGAACUGAGGGUAGCGGAGAAAUUCCAAUCGAACCUGGAGAUAGCUGGUUCUCUCCGAAAUAGCUUUAGGGCUAGCCUCAAGUGAUGAUUAUUGGAGGUAGAGCACUGUUUGGACGAGGGGCCCCUCUCGGGUUACCGAAUUCAGACAAACUCCGAAUGCCAAUUAAUUUAACUUGGGAGUCAGAACAUGGGUGAUAAGGUCCGUGUUCGAAAGGGAAACAGCCCAGACCACCAGCUAAGGUCCCAAAAUAUAUGUUAAGUGGAAAAGGAUGUGGCGUUGCCCAGACAACUAGGAUGUUGGCUUAGAAGCAGCCAUCAUUUAAAGAGUGCGUAAUAGCUCACUAGUCGAGUGACACUGCGCCGAAA
rnacentral:rRNA from 1 species